rnacentral:rRNA from 1 species
CCCGGGCCUUGUACACACCGCCCGUCAAGUCAUGAAAGUCGGUAACACCCGAAGCCGGUGGCCCAACCUCUUGAGGAGGGAGCCGUCGAAGGUGGGACUGGCGAUUAGGACU